CGCGGGAGCCCAGCCUUCUUUGCCCAGGUACCUAGAGGAGGAACCAAAGCCAACUAGUUAGUCAGCGGACAUCAAGCUGCAAUCAAUAUCUCAUCAAAAGAAAAACUGUUGUGGACCAAAAGAAGUGAGGUGACCUAAAGGGGAAUAUUUCAUGAAAGAGAAGAAACAGGAAAAUAUUCUCCAUUUGAUCAUCUACUCUGAUUACGAUCUACAUCUGCUUUUUAGUUCUACAUCUUCGAGAUACUCCCGGGAUGAGCAAACUGAGCAGAGAAAGCAUACACGAAGGAAAGGAAAUGAGGGCUCAUUUCAAAGUUCUUUUGGAUGACCUCCACGGUGACCCCUUUCUCGAACCCAAUCUCGUCCUUGCCUUGGCUGGUGUAUGGCUGCACUGUGAUGUAUUUCUCCUCUUUUGCAAGAAAGAGAAAGGGACCACCUGCUUUUCACUCAACGCCAGGAAAAGAAGAAGAAAUGUUGAGGGGGGGCACAUUUAAAUUAGCCAUGUGAACUGACCCAGUGGGAUUCCUGUGCAGUAUACUGUGAAAGCCACCAAUCAGUUCACAUGUAAAGAGAACCACUUUAAGAGAGAUAAUCCGUGUGUCCUCAGGUUUGACGUAAAUGAAUAAUGCAUAAAGCUCUUGUUUACAGAUGGAUUGGGCCUGCUUUUUUAAUGCUCUCUUAAAAUGCUGUCACCCUCACUAGCUCAAAUAACAGUUAUUUAAAUAUCUGCUUUCCAUACUUCAAAUGUUGAAACCUGUUUUUGUAUAUUAAAACCUGCAAAGAAAUCUAAUAAACCUUUAUCCAUCCAUCCAUUUUCUAACUGCUUUAUCUAGCGUGGAUACACCCUACACAGGAUGACAGUGCAUUGCAGGGAAGAUGGACACAAACACUGGAAGCCAAUUAACCUACUGGUAUGUGUUUGGACUCUGGGAGGAAACUGGAGUACCAAGAGGAAACCCAAGUGAACAUGGGGAGAACUUACAAACUCCACACAGAUAGCACCCCAGGAACUGCCCCCAAGCUCCCAGCCCCGUGUGGCAGCAACGCGAAACACAGCUCCGCCAUGAUGCCCCAUUAAGGCUUUAUAUUAAUUUAAAAUACAUUGUGUCAAGUACAUGCCCCUUUCCCCAGAAAGCAAUGAGCAACUGGAUUAAAUCAUUACUUUGGAUAUUCUCAGCAAUUUGUAAUAAUUUCACAUAUUUUUGGCAAGAAAUAAACCUGAAACUUCAUCAAUUCCAUGUGAGAGGAAUUUAGGUCAACUGCAUAAUAACCGAAAAUUGCAAAAUUAACGUAGCUGCCAUUUCCAAGUUAAUUGUGGCUUCAGGGGAGCCACUUGUCCGUGUUCAUUCAUUAACAUUUUUAGCUACAAGCGUUGUUUUUAAAUUAGGUGGGUAUAGGUCUUAUGAACAUUCUCCUGAAUCUGAUUUGAAAAAAACAAAUUUUCUUCUUUCUAUCCCUUUUCCCUGAGUUUUCCUUUUACUUUUUACAGACCUUUCUGUGCAUGCAACUGCUUUCUAUAAAAUAAAAUCUAGGCCAGAGUUAAAAAGUAGACCCGGUCAUCUGAUGUUCUCUAGCUCUCACAAGAGUGGUCCCCUGACUCUUAAGCAAGACACAUAUAAGGAAGGAGCAUGGUUGUUGUUAAAGCCGGCCUCACACUACACGACUUUACCUAGAAUUUUCAGUCGUAGCCUUGAUUUACAUAAUCGUCAGAAAAUCACAGCGAGUUGUAGAGCGUCGCAGUGCGCGCUCGUUACCGUCAGGUGUGUAGUGUGACACCCCCAGUGACUAAGUCAUAGUGCUCAUAAUAGCCACUACAACUCUCUGCGACUCGCUUUGACAAAAUCAAACACAUUUUCUCGUAGCGAAUUGCAAGUCGCAGGGGUGGGCUCUUGUGUCUGUGACAAUCAACAGCCAAUGAGCACUCAACCAGAAGUACAAUGCAUACAAUGUGGCUGCAAGGAAAGAAGGAGAGCAAGUGUUUUGGACUGUGCAAAUGGAGGAGAGGCUCAUCAAACUUUGGAGCCAGCACAAAUGUCUGUUUGAUGUUUUAUGUUUGUUUACUUGUGCUCCACGUUGAUUGGCUGCCAAAAUGAGGCGACAUCGCGGUACUUUUGCAGUGUAAUAUGAUAUCUGGAACCAUGAUGAAAAGUCGUGAAGAAAUUGUGUAAUUAGUCACCCCCUGCAAUUCCUAGUCAUAUAAUUAGACACCGUCUAGGACAGAAAAGGCAGUGAGAUUCGGCAACUGCAGUCGUUAAAUUUGACAUGUUUUCCGACUAGAAGUCGUGUCGAGUCAUGUAGUGUGACAAAGGCUUUACUGCUAACAUGGACAUUC